GAUUAAGGAGAUAACUCACAGCAUCUUCCAUAGUCGAACGCCAUCCUUGCAUGGAUGACAAUCCAUACCGAAGCCUGUCAUUCUCACCAUCGUCUGAAAACUUUUCAGUUUUUGGCGUACUAAGGUAUACUCCCAUUUCCUUGGCUGAUUUUUUAGAAGAGAGA